rnacentral:rRNA from 1 species
UGCCAGACUCCUACGGGAGGCAGCAGUGGGGAAUAUUGCACAAUGGGGGAAACCCUGAUGCAGCGACGCCGCGUGAGCGAUGAAGUAUUUCGGUAUGUAAAGCUCUAUCAGCAGGGAAGAAGAUGACGGUACCUGACUAAGAAGCCCUGGCUAACUACGUGCCAGCAGCCGCGGUAAUACGUAGGGGGCAAGCGUUAUCCGGAUUUACUGGGUGUAAAGGGAGCGUAGACGGCGAUGCAAGCCAGAUGUGAAAGCCCGGGGCUCAACCCCGGGACUGCAUUUGGAACUGUGUGGCUGGAGUGUCGGAGAGGCAGGCGGAAUUCCUAGUGUAGCGGUGAAAUGCGUAGAUAUUAGGAGGAACACCAGUGGCGAAGGCGGCCUGCUGGACGAUGACUGACGUUGAGGCUCGAAAGCGUGGGGAGCAAACAGGAUUAGAUACCCCGGUA